rnacentral:rRNA from 1 species
AACGUAGGAGACGAGCGUUAUCCGGAUUUACUGGGCGUAAAGAGCGUGUAGGAGGCUAUACAAGUUGGAUGUGAAAGCUCCCGGCUUAACUGGGAGAGGUCGUUCAAGACUGUAUGGCUGGAGGAAGGCAGAGGUAGACGGAACUCCGGGAGUAGUGGUGAAAUGCGUAGAUAUCCGGAAGAACACCAGAGGCGAAAGCGGUCUACUGGGCCUUAGCUGACACUGAGACGCGAAAGCCAGGGUAGCAAACGGG